rnacentral:misc_RNA from 1 species
GGAGAAACUUGUAAGCAAACCCCAUCUCUGUUUGUCUUUCUCUAGAUUUCUGCUUCAAUCUCAGAAGUGCAAACUACAUACAGAAGUUUAUAGAGUUUACUCUCUAUCAAAUUUUAAUGACAUUUCUCUCUUCUAAUUGAAGGUAACAAACCUCUAACACUCUCUGGGUAUGGAAAUUAUUACAUUCAAUAUCGCAACAUGUCAUGUUGUUACAAAUUUGAGGUGGAAAUUAGUUGAUAAAAGCUCAAAUUUGUGUAAAUCAAAGGUCCCUUCUGGUACAAAAGCUCGAGUUUUAUGUGCUAGGGUUGAUCACAGAAGUGAGUCAUUAAGAUUUUCUAAUAUUAACAAGUUAUUUUUAGGGAAUCCUGAUCAAGGGGAAGGUUCUAAGUCAAUCAAUGCCCCUGAAGGCUUAAAAGUUGUUGAUUCAAAGGUUUUGAGUGGAGAAUAUGAUAGUUAUGUGAUUCAUAGAGAUGAGGAUGUGGAGAAUAUUUCAGGAAGUGGAGAACCAACAACUAAGGUUUUGAUUCCUGGGUUACCAAAUGAAUCUAGGGGUGAAUGUGGUGCUCCCAUAAACAGUUGCUUUUGCGAAUGGAAGCCUAAACUUAAUGUGCAUUAUGAGAAAGCAGGGUGUCAAAAUGUGAAAUCUCCACCAGUGCUGUUUCUUCCUGGUUUUGGUGUUGGCUCCUUUCAUUAUGCAAAUCAAUUGAAGGAUUUGGGCCGUGAAUAUAGAGUAUGGGCAAUUGAUUUUCUAGGGCAAGGCAUGUCUUUGCCUGUUGAAAAUCCCACUACACUGUUGAAGGAAGGGGAUAUCUUAGAGGAAAAGAACUCCAUUUGGGGAUUUGGAGAGGAAACUGAGCCAUGGGCCAAUGAGCUUGUUUACUCCAUGGAUUUAUGGCGGGAUCAAGUUUCCCAUUUCAUAGAAGAGGUCAUUGGUGAACCAGUUUAUAUUGUGGGGAACUCACUAGGAGGAUAUGUUGCCCUAUACUUUGCAGCGAGCAAUCCUCAUUUAGUGAAAGGUGUUACGUUGCUUAAUGCAACCCCUUUUUGGGGAUUCCUGCCUAAUCCUAUAAGAUCUCCAGUACUGGCAAGGUUAUUUCCAUGGUCUGGAACAUUUCCUCUGCCUGCAAGUGUGAGAAAGCUCACUGAGUUACUUUGGCAGAAAAUAAGUGAUCCCAAGAGUAUAGCAGAGAUACUUAAACAGGUUUAUGCAGAUCAUUCUACAAAUGUUGACCAAGUGUUUUCUCGUAUUCUUGAAAUAACACAACAUCCUGCUGCUGCUGCAUCAUUUGCUUCAAUUAUGUUUGCUCCUCAGGGACAACUAUCAUUUGAGGAAUGUUUAAUGAGGUGUAAAAUGAACAAUCUUCCCAUCUGUCUCAUGUAUGGAAAAGAGGACCCAUGGGUGAAGCCCAUCUGGGGCCUUAAGGUGAAACGACAGGUGCCUGAAGCUCCGUAUUACGAGAUCAGCCCAGCUGGUCACUGCCCUCAUGAUGAAGUUCCUGAGGUCGUGAAUUACUUGCUUCGUGGGUGGAUUAACAACAUUGAGUCUCAUGGUUCGAAUGUACUGCCUUUGCUUGAUGAUUCACAGAGUAUCCGGUAUAACAUUUCCAAGGACUUGGAAUUUACAAGAGGAGGAUCAAGAAAAUUGGUGAAAGUUCGGUUCUUCGGAUCAGGGUUCUCCAUCUGGAACUGGAUUAACUCUCCUGUCAAGUCUCAACUUGGGAAAUUGGAAAUCAAAUCUGGAUAACUGAGCCACCUUCCCCAAUGAUCAAUGUAAAUUUGAAGCAAUUUUAUAAUUGUUCAGUAAUAUUAAUUGGUAGAUCCUCUUAUUUUUAAAAGGCAAUUAGUUAAUACCAAAUAUUUAAUUCUGUUAAUCAUAUGGUUCUUCCAUUCAAUUAAACAUUAUUUUUCUGUUAG